rnacentral:tRNA from 3 species
UUACCGAGGGUUCGAAUCCCUCUCUUUCCG